ensembl:processed_transcript
CAGUUUAGCAUAAAGAGCGAACAGUCAUUACUACUAUUCAGUUGAGGAUACCUCUUCUUCACUGGAUGGCGGAGGGGUUGCAGACGGAGGGCUGGAGCCAGUUCAAUAUCUUCUCACCUGUGCCUUUAGAGGACAUAAUGCCUUGAGCCGGGAUGAUUCUGAACAGAACACUGAACUUCAUGUGUGUCCGUCUCUCACUGUAAGACCACUGGACUUCUGCUAAGACAUUACACAGAAUUCCUGAUAAAGCUGACUGCUGGUCAACAACAGCUUCCCUCAGAUCAAGGUCAGUGUGUGGUGGUCCUGCAGUGUUCAGGGGGCUGGAGAUGUGGAUUGGUGGUCUGCUGUGUGACUGUAUGUUUGCGUGGGCGCAGCCAGACGUUUACUCUAAUAUCUGGCUACAGAUGUGUUGCUGAAGGGGGGAAGCAAGGCAUGAGAAGGCGAGUUUCAAGUUUUCCCAGAGCUUUGUUGGAGGCAACAACAGAAAGAAGCUCAGUCUAGACAUGCAAUUGUACACAAGAAAAAAGGAGCAAGAAAUUACUGGAUUAUACAUGCAGGAAAGAGUAAGCUCUGCGCUACUUUGUUGGGCUUAGCGUGUAUGUCAAUGUCAAUGGCGCUUGAAAGAUCCCCCUGAAGUGAGGCUGAUAGUUAAAGAUGUACGUCAUACUGUUGACCGUAAA